GGGCCCCUACGGGGGGCAGCAGUGGGGAAUUUUGGACAAUGGGCGCAAGCCUGAUCCAGCUAUUCCGCGUGUGGGAUGACGGCCCUCGGGUUGUAAACCACUUUAGUAGAGAACGAAAAGGAGCUAUCGAAUAAAUAGCUCUGCUGACGGUACUCUAAGAAUAAGCACCGGCUAACUACGUGCCAGCAGCCGCGGUAAUACGUAGGUGGCAAGCGUUAUCCGGAUUUACUGGGUGUAAAGGGCGUGUAGGCGGGUCUGCAAGUCAGAUGGGAAAUCUCAUGGAUCAACCAUGGAACUUCAUUUGA
rnacentral:rRNA from 1 species